GGGAAGUAGAGAGACGUUAUCGUCGGGAGAGUGCACAGUGAGACAUCGUUAAGUAGUAAUAAAUAAGUAUCAUCAAAGGUCGACUACCCGUGGUCCUGAUAUUAACGUCUUGUGAACUGCAAAAGGAGAUGAUGCUUACCCGGUGGAUGGGCCCUGCUGUUUCGGCUGUUUCUGCUGUGCUGCUGAACUGUGUUCUUGUCCUGUUUGCGGUAUUUCGGAUAUGAUUCUGGGCAGGGCCUGCUGAGUGGUGUUGCUCUGCCUUGCCUUGCUGUUGGAUGCUAAGUGUGCUAACAUCAAAGAGAGCAUCUGAAGACUGCAUCGGCAUCGGUAUCCCUAACCACUCUUAAGGAUUCGCCUCACUGCACCCAAGCAACGACACAGGCCUGCAACUGGUUGAACUAAGUUUGAACUGGGUGUAAACAAGGAAACUAAAUAGUGGUACUGUUUGGACACUUUGAGUUAUUGUUAUGCUUUAUUUUUUGCUCACUUUAUUGUGACCAAGAGGUCAUUUGAAAAACUCAGAACAUACAAAUUGAUCUGGUAUUUUAUUUGGGAAACUUUGUUUGAUAAUGUGGACAUUUUAUUUGAAUUUAUUAUUUUCAUCAAAAAGGGUCAUUUUGAAUUUUGGGUGUAAAUAUUGUAAAUAAAUUUAUGUUCAUCUGUUAUAUUUAAAAUACAGUUGUAGAGGUCUUUAUUACAACUGGACAGAAAUAUACAUUACAAAUAUUUGUGUACAAACCACACGAACUCAGGCCCAGUCUUAUUGUAUUAAUCACUCCAGUAUUUAUAAAUUAACUACAUGAGACCAGGGUUACAUGCCCACUAGUUGCGUGGCAGCGUUUUGAUCGAACACUCGAGCAAACGAAGUAAGCCUGUUAACAUUUCCAAAAGACGCUAUUAGCUGCGUCAGAUUCUUUGUUGUUGUGUUUUGGCACAUUUCAAGGAAUUUGUUUUGAUACUGCGCCUCCGAUAAAGUUUACAGUUUGGGACUGAAUGCGUAUUAUCAAAGGGUGCUCCUACCAUCAGCUGUCCCGGCUAUCUUUUUUCGAGCCAAACUGGGGAAAAGAGAAGCACUGAUGCAGAUGAAAGUAAAUAAAACGUCAAAAACCCAGAAGAUUCCACCAUAAAUAUUCUACACAUCUUAGAAUAAUAAUAUGUGUUUUCAUGCCAAAUUUCAAAGCAAGCUAAACAGCGAUUUUGUCUUUUGACGUGACGUCACAGUUUAGAAAAUUCACUGUGGAGCUUGUGAUAAUCACAAGUUCAUUUCACUCAUAUUUUGUUGUUUACUGGCGGACGACAGCAGUAUGACAAAACCGUUUUCUUAUGUGAAUACUUUCAUUUUGUUAUUGUUUUUUUCAAACUUUUUUGGUGACAUGAGCACAUUAAGGAUCAGUGGUGUUGCGCGUGCACCCUCGUAUAGCAACACAGAUGCUGACUUGCCAACCGUAUAGCGGUGGGAACAAUCUGGAUGUCAGUGGCCGGAGGCCACAGCAUCCAUGACAUACAUAGGAAAACAAUCUGAGAUCUUUGGAGCGUAGUACAUGUCUCCUGAAGUCAACUGUUCUAAUGUCACUUGUGUGCAUUUUUUAUUUCCUGCACAGUAGACUUGAAGACAAGACCAAAGGUCACCCGGCUUAAAGGUCGGAUGGAUCAUUGUUGUUUGUUUAGAUGUGAGAGAGAGUCACAUUUUUGCACUAUUUAAAAGUUUCCAACAAAUGCAUGGUUUACCGUGUGAGACUUGGAUAAUGGUACUCACCGAUGUUGGCAAAAGUUCUACUUGUCAUUUGAAAAUUAUUUUUCAAAAGUGUCAGUGAUGCGGCUCACGGCAAUGUCCCACCACUCCUUCUAUCACAGCAAGUUCUGCCAUAAGAACUGCCAUAGCCAAAAUUCUUGCCCUCUUCUUAAUCUUCUUCCUGGAAUCAUUUGGAUAAGACAAUAUUGACUUCUAUUGCACAAAAUCCUUAAUUGCCACAAUCAGGGAGAACACCCUCCGCAGCAAUCUUUACUUCCAUAAACACGGAACUUUGCAUUCACAUUAAUAAGUUGCAUCUUAUUGAUAAUGUGAUCAACCACAUAAACAAUUGGAUUUGAACAAAAAAUCCGAAUUGGCCAUUAUACCCUGCAGUGUGAACAUAGCCUGUGUCUCUCUAUUAUGCACUUGAUCCACUUUUUACAUAUACACUAACUGCACUUGUUAAUUAAUUCAUAAUUAAUUCAAUAUACAGUAUCACAUACAACAACGUAACAUUAAGGCGUGGGACAGGAGGAGACAAAUGUCAGCAACACUCACAGCUAUGUGAGUUACAGUGCUAACAUUACACUCGUUUAACAGCAACAUAAUGCUAGGUUAGCUUAUUGGCUGAAGAAAAACAAAAUGAUCGUACUUACAGCUCCCACGUCUGUAGCUGACUGACACAUUGUUGGCAGUGUUUCAGGCUUCAUUUUAAGAUGUUUAGUGAAGCCUAUUUUUAAUUAUUAUUUUUUAAAUUGUCCUCUGUGGAGUGGUGGGCAUACACGGGGCUCAUCUAGCUAGGGCGUGUUUGAGACGGUAUCACGUCCAUGAGGAAGGAGGUUUCUGUCAUGACGUUAUGAAAAGCCACAACUUCAGAAGUGAGCAAAAAUUCCCAAAAUUUGAGCAAACAAGUAAGAGAGAUGAUAGAUUUUUCUCACAUUCGUGCUCAUACAUAAACAUGCUUUAGUGACACAGAUUAUUGUUAGAACAUCAUUAAAAGUUUAUUUUGCAAAACAGGAGGCCUUUAACUGUGCAAUAUUCUUUUUUCCUUUCCUCAAACAUAAAUAAAAUAACAUAAAGUUUUAUGAAUGAUAAUGACUUUGGUCUAAUGUGAGAAUGACUGAUGCUUUGCUUUGCGGAUGUAUUUUGUUUGCCCCUAGACUGUUUACACAAGUCCUGAAUUGUUGUGAAAGAACAGCAGGUGGAUUUCAUCUGUGGCCCUCAGAGUUGCGAUGGCAUGCCCACACUGCCCUCAGGCUUGAUGCCGACCGCGUCUGGACUGGCUAAGCGUGGUCAUUUUCAUGACAAGCUACACUCCUUUCUCUUUCAAAUCCAUUUUGCCAUCAGCAUGCGGCUGCCUGUUAGCGUAUUUUAUAUCAGGUCCUUCCCAUUGUUCUUUUGUCUUACUCAGAAUAAGAUUUGAAUUACUGUGCUUUCUUUCUUGCUGCUUAACUACUCUUCAUGGAAGAGCAUUGAGUCUCCUCAGGGGAUUUGCUUCACUAGCAGGAAGUGGAACAAGCAGGAGGCAUAUAUAUGUGUGUGUGUGUGUGUGUGUGAGUCAGCUUAGUGUUAAAACAUAGAAAAGGCGAGAAAGGGAAUGGAAAAAGUGCAUUGUGUAUGUUAACAUUCUAUUGUAAGCAAAACAUUGACAACUAAAUGUGUUUUUCUAUUUGAUUUGAGAUUUAUCUAGCCACAUUUCACAGUAAAUAAUGGUGUGAGCUUCGUGGCUUGCUUGUCUGAGGUCCUGCUUGUGUAACCUCCAGCACACUUGAGCGGGAUUUCGAAAUGAAAGGUAAGUUAAUGAGUUUUGCUGCAGACAAAAUUGCAGCAACAAAAGCGUGUGGUGUGAGAAAACAAAUGGGGGCUCUCUUAAUGGUGUUUGUACGGCAAACAACUUUCUACUUUAGAAUGAGUCUUUUAGGGAAAGAACAACCCCCCUCUUGGGGCUGCAGUGAGUGCAUUUAAACAGUAAAGCCUAGCUCCUCUAAUGACUGUGUGUUUAAGCAGUUAUUACGGGAAUUUGUGGUCAUUCGCUCACUCAUUAUCUGCACCAAUUAUCCUGUUUGUAGGGAACUUCAGCCAUUCCCGGUUGAGAGGCGGGUACGCCCUAUUUUGAGGCACCAGCAACUCAUGGGGCUGACAUUAACAUUCACACUCGUGACAGCAAUAGGUGUCUUUUGGCCCACGUUGGCCAACCAUGCAGGUUUAUUUGUAGUAUUAUUAAGCGACUAUUAUUCUGAAUUUAAAAUGGAAUGCAGGAAGUGGACGAUAUGUAUUGUAUUAGUUGUGGAAUGUAUGGGGAUAGGAUUAAAUAAGCUUUGCUUCUUCCUACUCCUUUUGGACAUGUGGAACUGUGAAAGGAUGAUUCAUGAGAUGUAUUCCAUUGUAACCUUCAUGUUCAAAUAAACCAAACCAAACCAAACCAAACCAAAGUGGUACUGAGUUCCAAUUUCAGCUGAGAUUGCUGUUUUAUGGUUUUCUUAAAUAAACCAGUCCAAACCCAUGCAUGUUUGGUUAACUGGAGACCCUUAUCUUUUUCUACGUGCCCUGAUUACCUGGUGACCAGUCCAAGGCAUAGCCCGUCUCUAUAGCCAGCUGGGAUAGACUCUAGCUGACCUACUGCUAGAAAAUAAGUAAUACACAGAGGUUGAACACAAAUUUGGAAUACUUUUAAUUCAUUCAGCACCAAGCUGUGACCAUUAUUAUAUUGUACAUCUUUAUUGCUCUGCGGUAUUACUAUAUCUAACUUAUUGUGUGGCGAUGUGGGGAAACAACUAUGAAAGUACGCUUUACUCGCUAACUGUGCUACAAAAAAGGUCAGCUACGGUAAUCCAUAAUGCCGCUUUUAGAACAUACAAACCCUUUAUUCCUAAAAUCACAAUUAUUACAGUUGGCUGAUUUGGUAAACUUUCUAACUGCUAAAAUUAUGCAUAAAGCAAACCAUAACCUGCUAUUCAAAAACGUAAGACAAUUCUUCUCAACAAGAGAGGAGAAAUAUGGCCUGAGGGAAAAAUUUAACUUAAACAACACACAAGCAAGAACAAUGCUGAAUACCUUUAGCACAUCAGUAUGCGGAAUGUUGUUUACAAAGUACAAGGAAAAAGAGUCCCGAACCACUGUGUACACACAAUGCUAUGGCCAACCGCUCUUGCACUCACUAGUGAGUACAUUGCCUGUACUCACUCAUCAUCCAACUAUAUUUUUGUCAACUAUUACAUUUUCAUCAGUUAUUAUUAUAUAUUUAUUAUUAUUUAUUAUGACUUUUUAAAAUUUAUUUACAGUGGUCAUAAACCUUGACUGCUAUUGCACCACGUUGUUAUACUACCUUAUCAUUUUCCGAUGUAUUUAAAAUGGCCAAAGAGUUUGGAAUAUAGGAAGUGAACAAAUGCAAUUGAUGUGAGGGGGUAGGAUUAAAUAAGCUUUGCUUCUUCCUACUCCUUUUUGGAGUAGGAACUGGUGAAUUGUACUAUGUACAUGUUCAAACAAAAUUAAACCAUUACCAUUAUAAAACCUUACGUGCGCCUGGAAGCUGAGUCUCAUCACUUUAUUUUUUUUUUGUUGAGCACAUUAAUUGAAAUUAUUAUUUUAUCAGCAUUCGUCGCCAUUGACACAUGAAUCACUUUAGUGGCUGUGCUACUACUUAGCUUGCAAUAGGUUCUGGUUAUCAUCACACUUUCACGCUUUGUAUCAUCAGUGGUAUCCUGCAGUGUCAUAAAAAAAACAUAGAAAAAACAAAACGCUUAGUUCCUUAGAUGCUCACUGAGCCGCAGUCUUUUGAGAUAUGUUGAAUUUUUGUGUGUAAUAAUAUUUCCCUUAAAAAAAAAAAGACUGAAUGUCAGCAUUCCCACGCAUCCUGGAAAACCUGGAAAAUGUUUUAGGCAUGGAAAACAUACGGAAAAUUUGAAAAAAAGGUCAAAGGUCCAGGAAAUGAAGUUAUCCUCGAAAAUGACCUUCUUCUAGGCGACAUUAGGACACUGCGCUUCUCUGCUUCUCGCCCGCACAACGCCCGAUGUGGCGCUACCAGCCAAUUAAAUUUGCUUUUCCACUUAGAGCAGUUCUGUGCCCCAGUGCUUACAUAUGACUUUGUUGCUAGAUUCAGCAACUUUUCAGAGCCCGUUAAGGAUUUAAACUAGUAGGGGUGUCACAAGAUCUUUCAAGAUUAAAACAUGACAAGACUUCUCAUUCAGGAAAAAACUGUGUUAUGGGCACUAGACCUAGGAUGGAAAUAAAUAAAUUCACACAAUAAAUGAAAAUGAACUUCAUAAUUUUGCCAGCCUGAAUAUUUUGCCAAGUUUUUGUGUAACCUGCCGUGCUUCAACACAGGACCUUCCCAAUGGGAGACGAGAGCGCUGACCACAUGGCCAAAAGCCCGGACUGUCGACAGCAUGUUCAGCGCAGCUCUCAAGGCAGAGGGAGUGAGGUUUACCAACAUACACUUGCACAGCUUCACAGGCUGGCAUCCAUUACACAUGCGUGUUUGUUUUCCUCAUCUCCCACCUUCAAGCAGGCAGAAAGAGAGUUCACUCUGUGAAUUGGUUUCAGCACCUUGGUGUGUUUGUUCCAUAGAACAACGGCAUGAACGGAGUGAACCCUUUUGUCAUUCAUACAGUCGCAUUGUCUCGGUGUGUGGAGGUGGGGCCGCUAGCAUACACACAGAGUGUAAUAGUGUAGGACCACAAGGCUGGCAAACAGCUUUUACCCACAGGCCAUCAGGCUUCUCAACAAAGCACUCACACAUGCCGCACGCAACACACGCACACACUCAUAGCACUUUAUUUAUUUGUAUUAAUGUCUCUUCUGUUGUU